GUGGUGGUGCAUGGCCGUUCUUAGUUCGUGGAGUGAUUUGUCUGCUUAAUUGCGUUAACGAACGAGACCUUAACCUGCUAAAUAGGAGCGCCUAUCUUCGGAUAAGCGUCUUUCUUCUUAGAGGGACUUUAUGCGUUUCAGCAUGAGGAAGUUUGAGGCUAAAACAGGUCUGUGAUGCCCUUCGAUGUUCUGGGCUGCACGCGCGCUACACUGAUGCGUUCAACGAGUGUACAACCUUGCCCGAUAGGGUUGGGUAACCUUUUGAACACGCAUCGUGAUGGGGAUAGAUUAUUGCAAUUAUUAAUCUUCAACGAGGAAUUCCUAGUAAUGGCGAAUCAUCAGUUCGUCGUGAUUACGUCCCUGCCCUUUGUACACACCGCCCGUCGCUCCUACCGAUUGAGCAAUCCGGUGAAUAUUUCGGACCGAAUAGCUGCGGGGUAACCCAUGACCGUUUGGAAAGUCAAGUAAACCUUAUGCUAGAGGAAGAGAAGUCGAGCAUC
rnacentral:rRNA from 1 species